rnacentral:rRNA from 1 species
AGUGAACGCUGGCGGUAGGCCUAACACAUGCAAGUCGAACGGCAGCACAGUAAGAGCUUGCUCUUACGGGUGGCGAGUGGCGGACGGGUGAGGAAUACAUCGGAAUCUACUUUUUCGUGGGGGAUAACGUAGGGAAACUUACGCUAAUACCGCAUACGACCUACGGGUGAAAGCAGGGGAUCUUCGGACCUUGCGCGAUUGAAUGAGCCGAUGUCGGAUUAGCUAGUUGGCGGGGUAAAGGCCCACCAAGGCGACGAUCCGUAGCUGGUCUGAGAGGAUGAUCAGCCACACUGGAACUGAGACACGGUCCAGACUCCUACGGGAGGCAGCAGAGGGGAAUAUUGGACAAUGGGCGCAAGCCUGAUCCAGCCAUACCGCGUGGGUGAAGAAGGCCUUCGGGUUGUAAAGCCCUUUUGUUGUGAAAGAAAAGCAGCAGGUUAAUACCCCGCUGUUCUGACGGUACCCAAAGAAUAAGCACCGGCUAACUUCGUG